CUGGUUCUUUGUCUCUUCUGAGCUUAACUAUCUUAUCUGCAAUUCCAUUCUCUUCUCUAGGGAUGUGCUGAAGGUUCCAAUGACAUAGUAACUUUAAACUCGAUAGAAUUCUCCUAAUUAAGACAGAAUUAGAGCCUUCUCAAACUCCUUCAUGAAUAAGGUUAACCGCUUCAAGAUUAUCUGUCUGAAUAAAAACUUUCCGAAAGCCACGAUCAAGAGUAAUUUGCAACCCGUCAAGAAUGCCCC
rnacentral:lncRNA from 1 species